GUAGGUGGCAAGCGUUGUCCGGAAUUAUUGGGCGUAAAGCGCGCGCAGGCGGUUCUUUAAGUCUGAUGUGAAAGCCCACGGGCUCAACCGUGGGGGGUCAUUGGAAACUGGAGAACUUGAGUACAGAAGAGGAAAGCGGAAUUCCACGUGUAGCGGUGAAAUGCGUAGAGAUGUGGAGGAACACCAGUGGCGAAGGCGGCUUUCUGGUCUGUAACUGACGCUGAGGCGCGAAAGCGUGGGGAGCAAACAGGAUUAGAUACCCUGGUAGUCCACGCCGUAAACGAUGAGUGCUAAGUGUUAGGGGGUCUCCGCCCCUUAGUGCUGCAGCUAACGCAUUAAGCACUCCCCCUGGGGAGUACGGCCGCAAAGGCUG
rnacentral:rRNA from 1 species